rnacentral:rRNA from 1 species
AGGUGCGAUCAUACCAGCACUAAUUCACCGGAUCCCAUCAGAAUUAUGAAGUUAAGCAUGCUUGGGCGACAAUAAUACUAAGAUGGACUUUAUCACAGGACUUUCAUAGACACAAGUA